AUGUUCGAGUAUCUAAAUGUUGUCAGCAAGAUGUUUGUUAGUGAGGCUGGAGGCUAUGAAUUCUACAACAAAUAUGCUCUUGAAAAAGGUUUUAGUGUGAGGAAAAGCUACGUUGAGUGGGAUGGAUCCAACAAAUACAUAAUUUUAAGGAAAAUUGUGCGUAGUCGUCAAGGGUUUAGCAAAGAGAAGCACAUGAAAAGAAAGAUGGAACAUAGAAAGAGGAGGCCACGAAGUUUAACUCGUGUUGGGUGUAAUGCUAAAUUGGUCAUUACGAGACAGGAGGAAACCGGUCGGUGGUUUGACAAGGAUUUCAUCGAUGAGCACAACCAUCCUCUAGCCCCACGGGAUCUUUCUUGUCUGCUGCGUUCGCACAGACGAAUUAGCGAUGAGAAGAAAGCGGACAUUGCGGACAUGGAAAAAUGUGGGAUCCGCAAAUACCGUAUUAUGGAUAUUUUGUGA
rnacentral:rRNA from 1 species